GUGACGGCUGUGCAGCCUGAAGUCAUCUGUUUAUCCACAAAACAGGUACAGCAACAGGGCCAGAUUUCCCCACCCUACCAAUGUGCCUGAGUCCUGAGCUGGAGUGGCCAUAUAUAGUGAGGAAAGAGCAGUUCAGUCUCCAGCAAUGCCCGUCAGUGCCACU
ensembl:misc_RNA